CGCAAUGCCGAGCCGUUUAAGGCGAAGUCACUAAUCCCAUGCUGCCAAGAAAAGCCUCUAGAGAGCUUGCACGGUACCCGUACCCCAAACCGACACAGGUGGGCAGGUAGAGAAUACCAAGGCGAUCGGGAGAACUGUGGUUAAGGAACUCGGCAAAAUGCCUCCGUAACUUCGGGAGAAGGAGGACCCCAUCAGGGUGAAGGACCUCGCGUCCGGAGCUCGAAGGGGUGGCACAGACCAGGGGAAAGCGACUGUUUACUAAAAACACAGCAGCGUGCGAAGUCGUAAGACGAUGUAUACGCUGUGACGCCUGCCCAAUGCCGGAAGGUUAAAGGGAAAGGUUGGCCCGCAAGGGCGAAGCUUUGAACUGAAGCCCCGGUGAAUGGCGGCCGUAACUAUAACGGUCCUAAGGUAGCGAAAUUCCUUGUCGGGUAAGUUCCGACCUGCACGAAUGGCGUAACGACUUUCCUACUGUCUCAACCACAGACCCGGCGAAAUUGAAGUACGAGUAAAGAUGCUCGUUAGCUGCAGAAGGACGGAAAGACCCCGUGGACCUUUACUAUAGCUUGAUGUUGAGUUUUGUUAUGUGUUGUGUAGGAUAGGUGGGAGACUUGGAAGCAUUGGCGCCAGCCAGUGUGGAGUCAACCUUGAAAUACCACCCUGCUCAUGACGGAGCUCUAACCCACGCCCCUGAUCGGGAUGGGGAACAGCGUCUGGUGGGUAGUUUGACUGGGGCGGUCGCCUCCUAAAGAGUAACGGAGGCGCCCAAAGGUUCCCUCAGGCUGGUUGGCAAUCAGCCGUCGAGUGCAAUGGCACAAGGGAGCUUGACUGCGAGACCUACAAGUCAAGCAGGUGCGAAAGCAGGGCAUAGUGAUCCGGCGGUUGCGUGUGGAAGCGCCGUCGCUCAACGGAUAAAAGGUACCCCGGGGAUAACAGGCUCAUCUUCCCCAAGAGUCCAUAUCGACGGGAAGGUUUGGCACCUCGAUGUCGGCUCAUCGCAUCCUGGGGCUGAAGCAGGUCCCAAGGGUUGGGCUGUUCGCCCAUUAAAGCGGUACGCGAGCUGGGUUUAGAACGUCGUGAGACAGUUCGGUCCCUAUCCUCUGCAGCCGGAAGGAACUUGAGAAAAUCUGUCCCUAGUACGAGAGGACCGGGAUGGACGCAGCUCUCGUGUGCCAGUUGUCCUGCCAAGGGCACUGCUGGUUAGCGACCUGCGGAAGGGAUAAGCGCUGAAAGCAUCUAAGUGCGAAGCCUAUUUCUAGAUGAGGUUCCUCACUGGGUUAACCAGGUAAGGCCCGUGAUAGACCAACACGUUGAUAGGCCGGAAGUGUAAGCGUGGUAACACGUUCAGCUGACCGGUACUAAUCGGCCGAGGGCUUGGAUC
rnacentral:rRNA from 1 species